UACGGGAGGCAGCAGUGGGGAAUAUUGGACAAUGGGCGCAAGCCUGAUCCAGCCAUGCCGCGUGAAUGAUGAAGGCCUUAGGGUUGUAAAAUUCUUUCAGCAGGGAAGAUAAUGACGGUACCUGCAGAAGAAGCCCCGGCUAACUCCGUGCCAGCAGCCUCGGUAAUACGGAGGGUACAAACGUUAAUCGGAAUUACUGGGCGUAAAGCGCGCGUAGGCGGUUUG
rnacentral:rRNA from 11 species